CCUACGGGUGGCUGCAGUGAGGAAUAUUGGUCAAUGGGCGUAAGCCUGAACCAGCCAUCCCGCGUGCAGGAAGAAGGCGCUAUGCGUCGUAAACUGCUUUUCCAGGGGAAGAAAACCCGCUACGUGUAGUGGCUUGCCGGUACCCUGGGAAUAAGCAUCGGCUAACUCCGUGCCAGCAGCCGCGGUAAUACGGAGGAUGCGAGCGUUAUCCGGAUUUAUUGGGUUUAAAGGGUGCGUAGGCGGAUUAGGUGAAAACCUUCAGCUUAACUGGGGAACUGACAAUGAUACUGUUAGUCUUGAGUACGGUCAAGGUAGGCGGAAUGUGUAAUGUAGCGGUGAAAUGCUUAGAUAUUACACAGAACACCGAUUGCGAAGGCAGCUUACUGGGCCAUUACUGACGCUGAUGCACGAAAGCGUGGGGAGCGAACAGGAUUAGAUACCCGGGUAGUC
rnacentral:rRNA from 1 species